CCGCGGUAACACCGGCGGCCCGAGUGGUGAUCGUGAUUAUUGGGUCUAAAGGGUCCGUAGCCGGUUUGGUCAGUCCUCCGGGAAAUCUGAUAGCUCAACUAUUAGGGCUUUCGGGGGAUACUGCCAGACUUGGAACCGGGAGAGGUAAGAGGUACUACAGGGGUAGGAGUGAAAUCUUGUAAUCCCUGUGGGACCACCUGUGGCGAAGGCGUCUUACCAGAACGGGUUCGACGGUGAGGGACGAAAGCUGGGGGCACGAACCGGAUUAGAUACCCGGGUAGUCCCAGCCGUAAACGAUGCUCGCUAGGUGUCAGGCAUGGCGCGACCGUGUCUGGUGCCGCAGGGAAGCCGUGAAGCGAGCCACCUGGGAAGUACGGCCGCAAGGCUGAAACUUAAAGGAAUUGGCGGGGGAGCACAACAACGGGUGGAGCCCUGCGGUUUAAUUGGACUCAACGCCGGACAACUCACCGGGGGCGACAGCAAUAUGUAGGCCAAGCUGAAGACUUUGCCUGAAUCGCUGAGAAGUGGUGCAUGG
rnacentral:rRNA from 1 species